rnacentral:rRNA from 1 species
UGAACGCUGGCGGCAGGCCUACCACAUGCAAGUCGAACGGUAACAGGAAGCAGCUUGCUGCUUCGCUGACGAGUGGCGGACGGGUGAGUAAUGUCUGGGAAGCUGCCUGAUGGAGGGGGAUAACUACUGGAAACGGUAGCUAAUACCGCAUAAUGUCGCAAGACCAAAGAGGGGGACCUUCGGGCCUCUUGCCAUCGGAUGUGCCCAGAUGGGAUUAGCUUGUUGGUGGGGUAACGGCUCACCAAGGCGACGAUCCCUAGCUGGUCUGAGAGGAUGACCAGCCACACUGGGACUGAGACACGGUCCAGACUCCUACGGGAGGCAGCAGUGGGGAAUAUUGCACAAUGGGCGCAAGCCUGAUGCAGCCAUGCCGCGUGUAUGAAGAAGGCCUUCGGGUUGUAAAGUACUUUCAGCGGGGAGGAAGGGAGUAAAGUUAAUACCUUUGCUCAUUGACGUUACCCGCAGAAGAAGCACCGGCUAACUCCGUG